rnacentral:rRNA from 1 species
GACGUAGGGUGCGAGCGUUGUCCGGAUUUAUUGGGCGUAAAGAGCUCGUAGGCGGCUCGUCGCGUCGACCGUGAAAACCCGCAGCUUAACUGCGGGCUUGCGGUUGAUACGGGCUAGCUAGAGUGUGGUAGGGGAGAUCGGAAUUCCUGGUGUAGCGGUGAAAUGCGUAGAUAUCAGGAGGAAUACCGAUGGCGAAGGCAGGUCUCUGGGCUGACACUGACGCUCAUGCACGAAAGCGUGGGGAGCAAACAGG